GUGGGGAAUAUUGGGCAAUGGGGGAAACCCUGACCCAGCGACGCCGCGUGAGGGAAGAAGGCCUUAGGGUCGUAAACCUCUGUUGUGUGGGAAGAAGGAAGUGACGGUACCACACGAGGAAGUCCCGGCUAACUACGUGCCAGCAGCCGCGGUAAUACGUAGGGGACGAGCGUUGUCCGGAAUUACUGGGCGUAAAGGGCGCGUAGGCGGUCAUUUAAGUCAGCUGUGAAAUGGUCCGGCUCAACCGGAUCAUGCGGUUGAAACUGGAUGACUGGAGUGCUGGAGAGGCAAGUGGAAUUCCCAGUGUAGCGGUGAAAUGCGUAGAUAUUGGGAAGAACACCGGUGGCGAAGGCGACUUGCUGGCCAGCAACUGACGCUGAGGCGCGAAAGCCAGGGGAGCAAACGGGAUUAGAUACCCGGGUAGUCC
rnacentral:rRNA from 1 species